rnacentral:lncRNA from 1 species
AGUGGUGGACCUUUUUACCAAGUUGGCCCAUUUCAUCCCAUGUGAUGGUCUCCCCACGGCCAAAGAGACUGCAGAUUUAUUCCUUCAACAUGUUUUCCGACUACAUGGAUUGCCCAAGAGUUUAGUCACUGACCGUGGAUCUCAAUUCACCUCUCGUUUCUGGAAAGCACUACAAAAACUAUUGGGCAUAGACUCUCGUUUAUCUUCAGCUCAUCAUCCCCAAACGGAUGGGCAAACGGAGCGCACCAAUGCCACUUUGGAACAAUACCUUCGUUGUUACGUAAAUUACCAACAGGACAAUUGGGCUUCCCUAUUACCUCUGUCAGAAUUUGCUUACAACAAUGGGGUCCAGGCUUCAUGUUAUGGUUGAGCCUUAUGGCUCCAAUACUGGGAGACGUGGUCGUAAGACUCCUCGUGAGUCAGAUUCUCUCGAGGAGCGAGAGAGGAAACGGCUGCGGGAUAUCUUUGCAGAACCAUCUGACGAAGACUCCUUUGAGGGUUUUACCGAGAGAAUGGAGGAAGAGGUGGUUAGCUCAGAGGAGGAUGACAUGGAAUGGACUCGUGUGAGGGAGGAUUUGGGUGUUCCUGGUAAUGAUAGCAUGGGAAGCGACUGGCAGGUUGCAGGAUCGGACCCGUGGACGAGCUGGAGGGAUGGAACGGGAUCCACAGCUGGGGAUGCUGUGGGGCGUAGUCAAAGAUGUUUUAGCUCUGAUGAGGAUGACAUGGAAUGGACUCGUGUCGAUGGAGAGAUUUGGGUGUUCCUGGUAAUGAUAGCAUGGGAAGCGACUGGCAGGUUGCAGGAUCGGACCCGUGGACGAGCUGGAGGGAUGGAACGGGAUCCACAGCUGGGGAUGCUGUGGGGCGUAGUCAAAGAUGUUUUAGCUCUGAUGAGGAUGAUGAUGAUGAGGCACCUGGAAUUAGGGUAACACCUGAUAGCGAUGAGGAGUUGUAACUGGCAUAUAAUGGGGUCUUGAAUCCGGGGCUAAUUGCGUUGGGCAAGGUAAUCUGGACGAACGCUUGGGCUCUUGUUGGGAAUUUCCUGAAGACGGGUGUGUUUCGUUUGCUGAAUACCUUGGACCCUCCGUCGUCUUCUUGACGGACAUUAUUUACCUACUCGGAAUUGACGCUGGACUGGCUGACUGACUGAUUGACUGACUGACUGACUGACUGGCUGACUACGAUCUUGGACGACCCUUUCUUUGGCUAUCGGAGGUUUUCGUGGAACCUAAGACGCCUGCACCUGGCUAUCGACCUCGGACCGGAUUGAGACCCCGCUGACCGCUGCAACCCUGAUUGAUGUGUUUGGACCCGGAGUUCGCCCGCUGCACGGAGGAGUAACAACUUAGUUGCUCAACCACAGCUGUUGAGUAGCAGAGAGGAAUCUGCUGCCAGUAUUUAUGUUCUAUUGAAUGUUUGUUUACCAGCUUUUGUUUGUUUAAAGUCCCAGGCUGAAGUAAGCAUUUUUGGUUUAACCCGGAUUAAACUCUUGUUUAAUCCGGUUUAUCUUUUGAACCGUUUUUGAGUGACUUUUCAUAUUGAAUGCGAGUGUUUGCCUAGCUCUUUGUUUUUUUACGAGCAUUUUUGGUUCUGUAUCUUUAAUAAACUGUGUUGAAUCUUAUCUAGUGGCGUUCUGUCCUUGACACUUCAACUAAAGAAACCCCGUUCUUUGCAAACUACGGUUUCCAUCCAUGCUUCUUUCCUUCCGUCAUUGAAACCUCAGAAGUCC